AGAGUUUGAUCAUGGCUCAGAACGAACGCUGGCGGCGUGGAUAAGACAUGCAAGUCGAACGGGACUUAAUUUGUAGCAAUACCGAUUAAGUUUAGUGGCGAACGGGUGCGUAACACGUGGGCAAUCUGCCGAGAAGUGGGGGAUAGCUCGCCGAAAGGCGAAUUAAUACCGCAUAUGAUCAGGGACGACAUCUUCCCAACAUCAAAGCCGGGGUAACCUGGCGCUUCUUGAUGAGCCCGCGGCCUAUCAGCUAGUUGGUGAGGUAACGGCUCACCAAGGCUAUGACGGGUAGCUGGUCUGAGAGGACGACCAGUCACACUGGAACUGAGACACGGUCCAGACACCUACGGGUGGCAGCAGUCGAGAAUUUUUCUCAAUGGGGGAAACCCUGAAGGAGCGACGCCGCGUGGAGGAUGAAGGCUUUCGGGUUGUAAACUCCUGUCAUUUGAGAACAAGUGUCGGCAAGUAACUACUGCCGACUUGAUAGUAUCAGAAGAGGAAGAGACGGCUAACUCUGUGCCAGCAGCCGCGGUA
rnacentral:rRNA from 1 species